UAAGAACAUCAAAUCCAAGAAGGAGAAGGACGGAAAGAUCGAGGAAUUAUUCUGAACAGUUGCACUAUGCAAAUUGUCAUCUUUGCAUCGAAUUUCAUAAUUUCUUGAGGAACUAUGUCUGUGGACCAGAUAAUCAUCAAACGGAUAUUAGGACGCAAGCUGAGGAACGACCUAUUAUUCAGGAAGGACCGGAUGACUCCAAUUCCGAUGUUCUCUGAAAAAGAUGUUAAUUAUCCAUUUAUGAUAGUUCACAAUUUGGUGAUAGAUUUGGAUCUAGUAAAGGAUUUGGAUUUGGACAUUUAUUUACGAUUGAAACAACUUUUCGUUCCAAGAGUGAAAGCUCCCUUCUGCUGUGAGUUUCGUGCUAUGCUUCAGCCUUUUCUGCACUCCUGUGUGGUCGGUGGCUGCAUGGAUGCCGUGGAUUGCAUCUUCCAAUCUGAAGAUUGGUUUGCAGGGCCGCGACAGCCCAUACGUUUCCCCGAGGACGGGCAACUUCCGAAUGGACGACCUAAGACAGGGGACCGUACUUGUCGCUUUGAUACAUCGGCACCAUCAGUACCAUCGGCGCCUCCGUAUCAAGGGGGUGGAAUGACAGGAGUAAACAUCAAGGAUGAACAAACAACAUGAAUCAGCAAAAGGACUUGUUUUGGACUUGUUUUGGACUUUGCAGUGACUAAGUGACUUUUUAGUUGUAAACAUGUUUUUGGUUAUAGGAUGACUAGAUAGUAUGCCCAUGUUAGAUAAGUUGAUGAUGUAACUAGGUAGUGUGCUUAUGUUAGAUAAGUUAGACACAAACAAGUUUGUUGUAAACAUAUAGAGUAUAUAAGCGCGAGGGAAACUCCAUGUAUUUGCUCACAAUCAACUCUCAUCGCCUGAGAGUAAGAUCGUGCAGUGUGAGCCAGCCACCUCGUGUAUUGCUUUGUGUGGUGUGCGAAUAAACCAGCAUUUCAAAAGGCAA